CCUACGGGUGGCAGCAGUGAGGAAUAUUGGUCAAUGGACGCAAGUCUGAACCAGCCAUGCCGCGUGAAGGAUGAAGGCGUUUGCGUUGUAAACUUCUUUUAUCUGGGAAGCGGUACCAGAGGAAUAAGCACCGGCUAACUCCGUGCCAGCAGCCGCGGUAAUACGGAGGGUGCAAGCGUUAUCCGGAUUCACUGGGUUUAAAGGGUGUGUAGGCGGGUAUUUAAGUCAGUGGUGAAAUCUCCGAGCUCAACUCGGAAACUGCCAUUGAUACUAUUUAUCUUGAAUAUUGUUGAGGUAGGCGGAAUAUGUCAUGUAGCGGUGAAAUGCUUAGAUAUGACAUAGAACACCGAUUGCGAAGGCAGCUUGCUAAACAAUAUUGACGCUGAGGCACGAAAGCGUGGGGAUCAAACAGGAUUAGAUACCCUGGUAGUC
rnacentral:rRNA from 1 species